UCAAAAAAAAAAAAAACCCCGCCGCCGCCUGCCGGCCUUCCGCCAUCGCCCUUCCCACAGCGUGUGCCCACGGAUCACAACCGUCGCCGCGCUGCCCUCCUCCCCCCACGCCAUGCUAGUGUCUUCCAGGCAACAGAUGCGCCAGGGAUGGGGCCGUUGAGUGCCAUGCCAGGUGCCGACGUGUGGAUUUCUUGGGGUGACCUCUCCAAUUAUUUGACAGCCACCCAGGCCACCAUCCGAGAAUCUUUGGUCUAGGUGGUUUGCUGCAUAUGCCCUUGGAAGCAAUGACAGUGUUUCUCAUAUCAAUAAUGUUUACUUUGGAAGCAAUAAAGUGACUUCGGCCAACAUUUCUAUUGUUGUUAGUGUGGGAAAUACAAUCUUAUACCUGGAUGCUGUUAUGAUACUUUGCCGGUGUGUGAGACUAGGAAGAGAGAUUCUUGGGUCCUUCACAUACUUUGCCCACACGCAAGUGAUAGCACUGAUCAUUAGAACAAAAUGGGUUGCAAAAAGUAUUGUGUAGAAGGUUUCUUCUGGCAUUGUCUUGGAUAGGGCGAAAAUGACAAAGGCGACAAUUGAAGCCACACUGAGGUAGGUCAGUGUAGAAACUACACUGACACAUCGCCUUCCCUUACCAAAUGUUGCCAAUAGCAGUCCAACGAUCCAAACACUGGCACAUAUGGCGAACAGUGCGACCACAACUUUUUCUUCAAGACUUGGAGAAGGGUUUGUGUUAGUGCCACUAUUGAUCUUCAGCCUUCCGUACAUUUGGGUGCUAUCUGAUAUAUCUAUGCUUUGUACUUUGGUUGGGUAGAAAAUUAGAACUAGUGGCAAAGCGAAGAAGACAAAAUUAUCCAGCAGGCUUUUGAAUUUGCUCAUUUGAAUGUUGCCUCUAUUGUGUGUU